GAUGAAUGCUGGCGGCGUGCCUAAUACAUGCAAGUCGAGCGAACGGACGAGAAGCUUGCUUCUCUGAUGUUAGCGGCGGACGGGUGAGUAACACGUGGAUAACCUACCUAUAAGACUGGGAUAACUUCGGGAAACCGGAGCUAAUACCGGAUGAUAUUUUGAACCGCAUGGUUCAAAAGUGAAAGACGGUCUUGCUGUCACUUAUAGAUGGAUCCGCGCUGCAUUAGCUAGUUGGUAAGGUAACGGCUUACCAAGGCAACGAUGCAUAGCCGACCUGAGAGGGUGAUCGGCCACACGGGAACGAAGACGCGGACCAGACUCCUGAGGGAGGCAGCAGUAGGGAAUCUUCGAGAAUGGGCGAUAGCCUGACUUAGCAAAGCCGCGUGAGUGAUGAAGGUCUUCAGAUCGUAAAACUAUAUUAUUAGGGAGGAACAUAUGUGCAAGUAACUGUGCACAUCUUGACGGUACCUAAUCAGAAAGCCACGGCUAACUACGUG
rnacentral:rRNA from 1 species